CAGAUAUUGAAGGGGUGUCAAGCAUUAAAGGUGAAGAUAAGAAGUUCUAGACAAGAUAUAGUCGUUUAGCUUCAAGAGACAGCUAAAAAUAAUCAUUUUAAUAGUUUGAGUAAAUCAAUAUCUAUGAUUGGCAGUCAAAAUACAGUGGGAAUACAUUUGAAUAUUCUAUAUCUGGACUUGGUACAUUAUCUGAAUUAAGGAUUAGCAAGUGCCAAGUGGCCAAUGAUUUUACUUUUGUUGUGCCUCUUUUUUUUCUGUACAUAAAUAAAAAUUAAUGCCCUUGGCUGAUAUUUUACAUGGACAUGUGUGUAUGUCUUGCAAACCAUAAUAUUUGUCCCUCUGAAACAUGUUGAAUGCAAUUUUAAAUAAAUAGUGCUUUUAGGUUGUUAUUUUAUGCUACCAUGCUUGUGGAUGCAGG
rnacentral:misc_RNA from 1 species